rnacentral:tRNA from 1 species
AAGGGAGACCUAAUUCAGGUAGGAGACGAAAAAAAAGUAGUCGCUACCAAGAAUCAAUCCCAAAAGGUCGGAGCGAGGCGAAAUUGGCUUUCAAACUAGGUUCUGGGUUCAAACAAGACCUGAAUCAGGAACAAGGGCUAUUAGCUCAGGUGGUUAGAGCGCACCCCUGAUAAGGGUGAGGUCCCUGGUUCGAGUCCAGGAUGGCCCACCUGCACAGGUGGCAAAAACAAGAGAAGCGAGGAAUCAGCACCUUAUCUUACUGACAUAGUAAGAGAGAAUGCUGGCUCUGGGUAAAGAGUCCAGAGGAACCUUGAAAACUGCAUAGAGCUAGGUGAAAAAGCCAAAAAAGAAGACCGCAA